rnacentral:lncRNA from 1 species
GAGAUUGCCAUUCGUGGGUUACCAAGUAACUGGCUGUGACAAUUACCAAACAGCUGUCCCAGGAAUCUACAUAGCCUUUAACCUCUGUCAGCUGAGAGAUGGGCUGAUGACAGCUAACAAACAAUAGGAACACACCCUAAUAUUUUAUUUAAGAGCUGAGGGAAGCCACAGCUGUAUGGAUCAUUUGGCCAGCUGCAUUUAACUGCUUCAGAUCAUGCUGUGCUGAGAAGCUUGCGUAGGGCUUUUUUUUUCUAACUUUGUGUUUGGCAAUUGGUUCUGUGCUACCAAGAUGGGUUUGGCUAAUGCACAGGAAUGCUAAGCUGCUCGUUAUGAGCACAGGCAGAGUACUUACAUAUGAGCUUAUUAUGGGAAGAAGCUGAAAUUAGACAGCCUUCUGCUACCUGUGGCAGAAAACAGGUUCGAUCUGAGCAGGACCUCUCCAGGCCCCUUCACCCUCGCUUGGGAGAGUUUGUAAGAGAUUUGGAGGGACAUAACAUUUAUUUCCUACUUCCCUGAGCUUCAGUCCAGGCCUUGGAAAAACCCAUCUGACAGUGAGUUUGUUUGUAUAUUUCAAUUUUUUUCCUAAGUACGCUAGGCUCAUUAGCAAGCCUCAGAAAAUGCACGCUUUGUUGAAGUUAAUAUGGGAAAUAAGAUACUGA